rnacentral:lncRNA from 1 species
GAGAAUUUCAGAGGAGCACAAGAGAGGGAAAGAAAAAACUAACUCCGUUAGUGGAUAUUUAACGGAUAGAACUGAUUUGAUACAUUUUACAUAUUAUAGGAACCAAAGAUUUACCAUUUUAAAAGUGGAGACUAAACUAAACAUCAGGACUUAACUUAGAAAAAAAAAAGGAUUUAAACCAUUAUAAAAUAAAAAUAUUAAUUGUUUAAAUUAAAGAAAGGAAU